rnacentral:rRNA from 1 species
GAUGAACGCUGGCGGCGUGCCUAAUACAUGCAAGUCGAGCGAACAGACGAGGAGCUUGCCCCUCUGACGUUAGCGGCGGACGGGUGAGUAACACGUGGAUAACCUACCUAUAAGACUGGGAUAACUUCGCGAAACCGGAUCUCAUACCCGAUAAUAUAUUGAACCUCAUGGUUCAUUAGUGAACGACGGUUUUGCUGUCACUUAUAGAUGUAUCCUCGCCGCAUUAGCUAGUUGGUAAGGUAACGGCUUACCAAGGCAACGAUGCGUAGCUGACCUGAGAGGGUGAUCGGCCACACUGGAACUGAGACACGGUCCAGACUCCUACGGGAGGCAGCAGUAGGGAAUCUUGCGCAAUGGGCGAAAGCCUGACGGAGCAACGCCGCGUGAGUGAAGAAGGUCUUCGGAUCGUAAAACUCUGUUAGUAGGGAGGAAGAAAUGUGUAAGUAAAUAUGCACGUCUUGACGGUACCUAAUCAGAAAGCCACGGCUAACUACGUG